UACGAACUGUGCGAACGUUAUUCGGAAUCACUGGGCUUAAAGGGUGCGUAGGCGGUUCUCUAAGUCAGGUGUGAAAUCUCUCGGCUCAACCGGGAAACUGCGCCUGAUACUGGCAGACUAGAGUGUGGUAGGGGAGACUGGAAUUCCUGGUGUAGCGGUGGAAUGCGCAGAUAUCAGGAGGAACACCAAUGGCGAAGGCAGGUCUCUGGGCCACAACUGACGCUGAGGAGCGAAAGCGUGGGGAGCGAACAGG
rnacentral:rRNA from 1 species